rnacentral:snRNA from 1 species
GUACUUACUUUGGCGGUACAUAUACUAAAAUUGGAACGAUACAGAGAAGAUUAGCAUGGCCCCUGAGCAAGGAUGACACGCAAAAUCGUGAACGUUCCACAUUUUUU